rnacentral:sRNA from 1 species
CUGUAAAGACCCAGCCCUUCCCUCCUCCAUGAAACCUGGAUUCCUCCAAGGCGAAGGCCCCCCUCUCUGGGGUCUCAGCCUCCAGCGCUGACAUCCUAGGCCGCCUCGACAGCCAUCGAGUUGAUCAAGGACCUGGUCGGUUACGAUGUGCGCCAGGCGCUGCUCAAAGGCCUCGUGGCGCUGCUGAUACCGUCGGUCAAGGAGACCUCCAAACUGCAGGCCAAGAUCCUCAGUGGUAAGGACCUGCUCAAAUGGGGCUGCCUGGGCCACGGGAGGGCGGUCUCUUGCCUCACGG